ensembl:lncRNA
GGAGGAGGAAGAGGAGGAGGAGGAGAGGCGUCGGAAAGGAGCAGGGAAACAGAGUUGUGCGAUCAGAAACCAAUCCCAGGAAGAGACCUCUGCCUUUCCAUUUACGGAAUUCCUCAUUUUUUUGGUCUUUCCACAUCUCCCUCUCUCUUCUUUGUCCCUCUCUCCUUCCAGCCCGCUCUUCUGUGGGGCGUUCAUGUUCCGGCGAGGAUCUCUUUGUCAUUCUAGGGUCCCGUCAGUGGUUCCUUAAGUUACUCUUUCUACAUUACCACAUAGACCUUGUUAACUUUUGGUUAGUUUUCUUGAGUUUACUUUCUCCUUUCCGAAAUCCGACUUGUGUACAGUUCUGUUCUACAUGAAAAAAAAAGCAAAACGUUUUAAGAACCCCUAAUUUUUAUUACACAUCUAGCUGUGUGUCAACGUGAGAGCAGAGAAAAACUGGUUCAAAAGAAGCGGCAUGUGCCGCUGUCUUAGCUUUGUUGUAUAUUGUUGCCACCUUGUGGUUGAAAGUGUUAUUGAAUGGAUGCAGACUUAUUUUUUUAUCAUCUUAUUUACUAUUUUUCUGACACAUGUGCAGUUGUAAUAGGCCAGUCAUUUCCAGUGCAGAUGAUUUGGAGAGAAGCAGCACUGUUGCUCAAGGCCCAAGGUGUCCUUUGUGUUUUCGUCUUAUGUUUGCUCUGACAUCACCACUAAUUUGUUUUAUAAUUUGAAAAGCAAAAAAAUAUUUGGAUGAAAUGACGUGUGGUGACGAUUGUGAUGGAACUGAAGGUUGACCAGUAUGUGUACAUGGUCUUUUAUUUGACCCUAUACGUGCAUAUCUACCAGAUCCACUCCACUACUUUUGCCUCUGAAACAAUUUAGGCCACCAGAUGUUCAGAUGAGUUUCCCGGUCAUUGGAUCCUGGAGGACCACGUGCACCAUCUGAUUCACACGAUCACGUGCACCAUCAAACGCAGACUCAUGGUCCAGUGACCAGACAUACAAUGCUCCUGUGAUGUUUACUGAGUAUACUGUAUAUUUGCGUUCUGCGUGAGCCACUCACAGGAGCAACACACACACACUCCUGUCACACUGCACAUUCUUUGAUUUUAUUUUUGCAAAUGUCAGUCGUCUGACCAACUCUGGGUACAUACCACUCGACCAAACACUCAAGGCAGCUCCUUUCUCCCGUCUCUCUCUUCUUUCUUUUUACUAAUGAGUCUAACCACGUCUGGUGACUAGAACAGAGUUAAUGUUUACCCCGGAAAAACUACCAAGAAGGAAAUCAGAGAAAAAAAACCAAGAAGGAAACCCAAGACAUUGCUCUGAAAAGUCCUGGGCUUUUCAUUUGAUGACUGAUGUCUGUCGUCUCUGUUUUCUUUUCAUUUGUUUUUAUUUUCUUAUAAUUGCCUUAUUGUUUGUAUGAAACGUACUGUCGAGUUGAUGAAUGUAUUGUGCUGUUGCUACUUGCCUGCGCUUGUAUGGGUUAGACGUUUCUAUGUUUGUGUAAAAAAAUUGGGGUUCCGGUGGGGCCAUGGUUUGCAAAAAAAAAAGAUAAUACAUUACUGAAUACCAUGUAACUUAUGUAACUGUUGACUGUAACAGUUUGCUUGAAUUAAUAAAAGCUGUUAUGUUUCAA